AUUCUUAAUUGCUUCUGAGGACCACUUUUUAAUUCAUUUUAAUAAAUAUGAAAAAAAAAAAAAAAAAAA
rnacentral:ribozyme from 1 species